ensembl:lncRNA
UGAGGAACUAUCAGAUGUAGGUUGAGGAACUAUGAGAUGUAGCUGAGGAACUAUCAGAUGUAGGUUGAGGAACUAUGAGAUGUAGGUUGAGGAACUAUCAGAUAUAGGCUGAGGAACUAUCAGAUGUAGGUUGAGGAACUAUCAGAUGUAGGCUGAGGAACUAUCAGAUGUAGGUUGAGGAACUAUCAGAUGUAGCUGAGGAACUAUCAGAUGUAGCUGAGGAACUAUCAGAUGUAGGUUGAGGAACUAUCAGAUGUAGCUGAGGAACUAUCAGAUGUAGGCUGAGGAACUAUCAGAUGUAGGUUGAGGAACUAUCAGAUGUAGCUGAGGAACUAUCAGAUGUAGGACUACUAAACAGAUGAAUAGGUUUUGGGUUUGGAUGAU